rnacentral:rRNA from 1 species
UUGGAGGGCAAGUCUGGUGCCAGCAGCCGCGGUAAUUCCAGCUCCAAUAGCGUAUAUUAAAGUUGUUGCAGUUAAAAAGCUCGUAGUUGAAUUUCGAGACCGGCUUAUUGGUCGUGCUAUUGUACGUACUGGUAUAAUCGGUUUCUCCUUUCUGACGAACUAUAAUGCCAUUAAUUUGGUGUUUUAGGGAAUCCGGACUGUUACUUUGAAAAAAUUAGAGUGUUUAAAGCAGGCUCACGCUUGAAUACAUUAGCAUGGAAUAACGGAAUAGGACGUUUGAUUCUAUUUUGUUGGUUUCUAGGAUCGACGUAAUGAUUAAUAGGGAUAGUUGGGGGCAUUAGUAUUCAAUUGUCAGAGGUGAAAUUCUUGGAUUUAUUGAAGACUAACUACUGCGAAAGCAUUUGCCAAGGAUGUUUUCAUUAAUCAAGAACGAAAGUUAGGGGAUCGAAGACGAUCAGAUACCGUCGUAGUCUUAACCAUAAACUAUGCCGACUAGGGAUCGGAUGAUGUUAAUUUUUUAAUGACUCAUUCGGCGCCUUACGGGAAAC